UACGGAGGGUGCGAGCGUUAAUCGGAAUUACUGGGCGUAAAGAGUGCGUAGGUGGUUGAAUAAGUUAUCUGUAAAAUCCCUGGGCUUAACCUGGGCAGGUCAGAUGAUACUGUUUGACUCGAGUAUGGGAGAGGGUAGUGGAAUUUCCGGUGUAGCGGUGAAAUGCGUAGAGAUCGGAAGGAACACCAGUGGCGAAGGCGGCUACCUGGCCUAAUACUGACACUGAGGCACGAAAGCGUGGGGAGCAAACAGG
rnacentral:rRNA from 1 species